rnacentral:snRNA from 1 species
AUCACUUCUCACCCUUUUGGUAAGAUCAAGUGUAGUAUCUGUUCUUAAAAGUUUAGUAUCUGAUAUCAGUGUCCUCUAUCCAAGGACAAUCUAUUAAAUUCUCCUUAAGCUGAUAAGAAACUUCAGCAAAGUCUCAGGAUACAAAAUCAAU